AGGCUGUUGAUUCAGAAAGUCAAGAACUUGAGCUGGAUCUUUCAAGUUUGGGAACUGUAAAUACAAUGUUUGCAGCACUAUUUAGCAAACUUGGUGUGCCCAUAAAGACCACAGUCUCAGCAACAGUGUUGGAAGAGGCAUUAAAUGGUAGAGUAUCUGUCUCACCUCUUACACUAGGCCAGCCUCUAUUUAGAAAGGUAGAAAAACAAUCUGCCCAUAUUUAUUCUGUCACAAUAACUGAAGGACGCGCUGGGUGGACUUGUCUGCCGUGUGCAAUCAUCUGAUAAAAGCAAAUUUAAGGUUUGUGUUAUACUGCAGAAUAUUUUCAUUUAGCAUCUUAGUUCUCAGGUUUUGUGCUGGUCUAGGCUGACGUGUGAGUGUUUAAACUAGUCUGAUUGAAUCUCGAUGCCAUACCUAGCCUUGCCAAUGAUUUGCAUAAGAUAGUGGACAUGCAAAGUAAUGGUUAAUAAUUGUUUGAGAAGAUGUACACAUGUUUUUCUUAUUGCAGCUUGGCAUUGACUUAUUUGUUUCCACACUUAAACAACUUUUUAUUGUACACUCAUGGUUUGCGACUUUGCGUCAUUCAUUAAAAGGAAAGGGCUUCACUGAAGAGG